rnacentral:tRNA from 1 species
CCCCGGGUGGUAAAAACGGUUAAUAUGGUUGGCUGCUACCCAAAAGGUUGGCAGUUCAAAUCCACCCAGGGG